rnacentral:rRNA from 1 species
UACGUAGGGUGCAAGCGUUAAUCGGAAUUACUGGGCGUAAAGCGUGCGCAGGCGGUUUUGUAAGUCUGUCGUGAAAUCCCUGGGCUCAACCUGGGAAUUGCGAUGGAGACUGCAAGGCUUGAAUCUGGCAGAGGGGGGUAGAAUUCCACGUGUAGCAGUGAAAUGCGUAGAGAUGUGGAGGAACACCGAUGGCGAAGGCAGCCCCCUGGGUCAAGAUUGACGCUCAUGCACGAAAGCGUGGGGAGCAAACAGG